AAUAGCUACAGUCAGAUUUGUGUUCAGUAAGGGUGGAAAUAUAAGAUAGUAGUUUACCCAGAAUGGCUUUAUAAAUGAACAAGUACCAAUCAGGGCUCAACGCUAACUUUUUUCCCAGAAGGGGCACAAAGGAAGAAAUUUAAGUAUUUUUAAGUUCCAGAGUUUAUUAUAAUCAUAUUAUACUACCUGCCUGUGCUCCUCCUCCUUGUGCACAAUCAUGAUUUGAAACCAGUGGAGGACUAUGGAGACCCUGGUACCUGGACACUUGGCAUGGGUCCAAAAUAUUGUCAAAGCUUUUUAAAAUAUUGACAGCUUUUAAAACACUGAUGACUCUCUUGUUUUUGUAUGAGUUGCUCAAGUGGUAUUUCUCUCGGUGUUGCCAGCCGCCAGUCCGACUAUGUUUUAAACGGACAGCUUCAGGGAUUCCAGUAAUAACCUUUCCCACACACUGUGCCCGUAAAUAAUUUUUCUGGUUUGCACUUAUCUAUUUUUAGAGGCAUUUGCAUCCAAGUCUCCAAGUGGUCAGGGAUGGCCAACCAAUGCUGGAGUAAAGUGUACACUGAUGAGUUAGAGUGGAAACCUUGCAGUGUGCAGAUGCAUUCGUGUACAGCAGAACACCAUAGUCAAUAACCAGUAAAAACAUAACAGAAAGGUCUAUUUCUGAAACGGGACUUGUUUCUGAAAUAAAAGCCAGACUAAAGUCUCAACUUUUUGUAUAGAAAGUAUUUGGCUGUGUCAAACCAAAGUCAUACCGACACCACACGUGAUGUCCUGUUAGCAUAAAAUGUUGGCAGUUUUGUAACCUAACUGCUAAAAUAGUAAACUAUACUGUAUGUAAUUAGUAUGGAGUUUGGAGUCUACAGCCGUGCUAGCAGCUCUGUAAGGCUGUAUGUAAGGCACAGCAGCGCUUUAAGCUACAUGCUAUCAGCACGCUAACAAUGCUCACAAUGAAUAUGCUAACAUGUUGAUGCUAAGCAGGUAUAAUGUGUCCGGUGUCAUGUUCACCAUCUUAGUUUAGUGUGUUAGCAUGCUAGCAUUUGUCAAUUAGUGCUAAAAACUGAGAACAGCUGAGGCUGAUGGGAAAUAGUUGUGCAGGUAUUCGGUCUGGCGCUAGAGGAAUUGAUGACAGAUGGCUGUAGGGCUCCAGUUUGAAAAAUGUUUUGGUUUUCUUAGUGAACUGAAUAUCUUUUUGUUUUGUCCAACCAACAGUCCAAAACCAAGACGUCUGAAGAUGUCCCUUUGGGCUCCGGGGACUUGUGAUGAGCAGCUUUACUGACCUAAAGAUUAGAGAAAUAAGAGAAUUCUCAUCACAUGAAGAUCUGAAGAAGAAUGAACAGAGGAGGGGAAACUUCAGUGGACAUGACUCUUUUUCUCAUUAGUUUCAUAUCAGUUUGUUUUCAACAGUUUUGUACACGAGUAUGUUUUAUUUUUUAUUACUGCGUGUCUUGUGUAUAGAUUUUCAGAUUAACUCAACAGUGUUCUUCAUCAUUAGCUUGUUUAAUGUUCUCUGACUAAGACAAAGUCUGUACGUCGGCUUUUAGUCGUCAUGUUUAGGCAGCAAAAGAAAAGAAAGCCAGUGAGUCAUCUUAACGCCAAAUCCUCUCUUUGCUUUUGACUCUUUCUGGAUUCAAAUGUGUACAUAUGUUUCUAAUUAGGUGAAGCUAUUUUUGAUUAAAACACAUUAACUCAU